rnacentral:rRNA from 1 species
UACGUAGGGUGCAAGCGUUGUCCGGAAUUAUUGGGCGUAAAGAGCUUGUAGGCGGUUUGUCGCGUCUGCUGUGAAAUUUCGGGGCUCAACCCCGAACUUGCAGUGGGUACGGGCAGACUAGAGUGUGGUAGGGGAGACUGGAAUUCCUGGUGUAGCGGUGAAAUGCGCAGAUAUCAGGAGGAACACCCGUGGCGAAGGCAGGUCUCUGGGCCAUAACUGACGCUGAGAAGCGAAAGCAUGGGGAGCGAACAGG